AAGGAGGCCGUAGGUGACCUGCGGAGGGAUCAUUACACAAAUAUGAAGGCGGGCUGGAACCUCUCGGGGUUACAGCCUUGCUGAAUUAUUCACCCUUGUCUUUUGCGUACUUCUUGUUUCCUUGGUGGGUUCGCCCACCACUAGGACAAACAUAAACCUUUUGUAAUUGCAAUCAGCGUCAGUAACAAAUUAAUAAUUACAACUUUCAACAACGGAUCUCUUGGUUCUGGCAUCGAUGAAGAACGCAGCGAAAUGCGAUAAGUAGUGUGAAUUGCAGAAUUCAGUGAAUCAUCGAAUCUUUGAACGCACAUUGCGCCCUUUGGUAUUCCAAAGGGCAUGCCUGUUCGAGCGUCAUUUGUACCCUCAAGCUUUGCUUGGUGUUGGGCGUCUUGUCUCUAGCUUUGCUGGAGACUCGCCUUAAAGUAAUUGGCAGCCGGCCUACUGGUUUCGGAGCGCAGCACAAGUCGCACUCUCUAUCAGCAAAGGUCUAGCAUCCAUUAAGCCUUUUUUUCAACUUUUGACCUCGGAUCAGGUAGGGAUACCCGCUGAACUUAA
rnacentral:rRNA from 1 species